rnacentral:rRNA from 1 species
UACAGAGGUGGCAAGCGUUGUUCGGAAUUACUGGGCGUAAAGGGCGCGUAGGCGGGCUCACAAGUCCGGGGUGAAAGCCCCCAGCUCAACUGGGGAAGCGCCUUGGAUACUGUGGGCCUCGAGGGAGGUAGGGGCGUGCGGAACUUCCGGUGGAGCGGUGAAAUGCGUAGAUAUCGGAAGGAACACCGGUGGCGAAAGCGGCGCGCUGGACCUCUUCUGACGCUGAGGCGCGAAAGCCAGGGGAGCAAACGGG